AAAUGAAUAGACGGGGACCCACACAAGCGGUGGAACAUGGGGUUUAAUUCGAUGGUAAACGAAGAACCUCACCCAGGCUUGACAUGUCAGGAAUACAGUUGAAAGAUUGUAGUGCCGCAAGGAACCUGAACACAGGCGCUGCACGGUUGUCGUCAGCUCGUGCCUUGAGGUGUACUGUUAAGUCAGCGAACGAGCGCAACCCUCAUCCUAUGUUGUUUUUUCAUGGGAGACUGCCGCCUCCAAGGCGGAGGAAGGUGGGGAUGACGUCAAAUCAGCGUGGCCUUUAUGCCUGGGGCAACACCCAUGUUACAAUGGUAGAUACAAAGGGUAGCCAACCCGCAAGGGGGAGCUAAUCCCAUCAAAAUCUAUCUCAGUUCGGAUUGUCGGCUGCAACUCGCCGGCAUGAAGUUGGAAUCGCUAGUAACCGUAGGUCAGCGAUACUACGGUGAAUAUGUUCCUGGGUCUUGUACACACCGCCCGU
rnacentral:rRNA from 1 species